GGUGAGAUGGCUCAGUGGUUAAGAGUUCGGACUGCUCUUCCAAAGGUCCUGAGUUCAAAUCCCAGCAACCA
rnacentral:tRNA from 1 species